rfam:Stegodyphus mimosarum contig119443, whole genome shotgun sequence.
GUCUUCGUGGUGUACUGGUCAGCAUGCUCGGCCAUUAUUCGAGAGGUCCAGGUUCGAAUCCCGGAGAGGGCA